GCCAUAUUUCUCUUUUACUAAACCCUAAAAUUUCGAAAUUAAGAAAUUAAAGAAAAAAAAAAAAGGAACGCAGGUGAAGUUAAAUUAGUGAACAUUCUUUCUUUCUUUUUCUUUUCUUGUUUGUUCAAUUAAUACCUUAAAUAACUCUCAACACAGUAAUUGAAGAAGCCCUAAUAACAGUCAUCAUUCAAUUGACAUCGAAACUUGAAAAUAAGAAAGAAGAGGAACUAGACCCAGUGAAAUAGAUUAAGCAGGUAACUGCGAGAAAAUAUCAAAAUUGAAAUUGGAAUCCAAUUCGAAGGGAAGGUACCUUAAUAUUGUGGCGGUGUAGCUGUCCGAACCCAACUCCGAAUAAGAGAACCAACCAGCCUCAGUUUAGGGCCGAUUUUCUUUUCUUUUGUGUUUCUGUUUUUUCUCUUCGAUGACAAAUGGCAAUUGAAAAGAUACGAGGCCAAAGGCUAAAAAAGUGCUUAAGCUAUUUGGAAAAUUUCAAUUAUC
rnacentral:lncRNA from 1 species